UUGCUGGUUGGUGUCAGGUGGUGCAUGGCUGUCGUCAGCUCGUGUCGUGAGAUGUUGGGUUAAGUCCCGCAACGAGCGCAACCCUUAUCUUAUGUUGCCAGCGCGUUAUGGCGGGGACUCGUGAGAGACUGCCGGGGUCAACUCGGAGGAAGGUGGGGACGACGUCAAGUCAUCAUGCCCCUUAUGUCCAGGGCUUCACACAUGCUACAAUGGCCGGUACAGAGGGCUGCGAUACCGUGAGGUGGAGCGAAUCCCUUAAAGCCGGUCUCAGUUCGGAUCGGGGUCUGCAACUCGACCCCGUGAAGUUGGAGUCGCUAGUAAUCGCAGAUCAGCAACGCUGCGGUGAAUACGUUCCCGGGCCUUGUACACACCG
rnacentral:rRNA from 1 species